AAACACGGCAGCAGAGAGCCGUUCAUAAUGCCUGACGAAGUCUCUUCUCAGGCUUGCUAAUCAAACAGUCCAGAUGUGUCGAAAUAUUUGCGGUGCUUUCAGGACCAUAAUUAAAUAACAAUUACAACUGCCUAACAGCUUUUUCCACCCUGUCUGCGCGUUCGUGCGCGAGCCUCAAGGGACGGAGCUCAAGUCAUGGAGCAGUGUCUGUUUUCACAGACAAUAACACGCUAAUGAAGAACACAUCAAACUAGAGAGUGUGCGCGAGAGAAACCAGCCUGCAAAUGAUGCGCGGUCAAGUGAUGCAAGCCAGUAGCUGAAGGAAUCGGGAUAGAAGUUACAGGUGCCGCGACCAUGACACUCUAUGAAUGGAAUCUUCCGGAAUUCUUCCAGACAGGAUCCAGGUGAGACCAGCGGCUGUCCGGAACCUUCUGCACCUGCUCCCGUUUGCUAGGAAAAAUAAAUCAGAACAAGCACAGAGAGAGGUCUUGUCCAUGCCCGCGGUUAUUGCCGUUGAUGAAGAGAAGUGAAUAUCCAAAGUACAGAUGUGUUGACCCACUAGGACAGACUGGUAGAUCUACUGUCUGGCUAUGCUUGGUAAAAAAGAAUCCAUCAUUUUUCGGUCCCCCAGAUGGGCCCCGUGAGCCCUUGGGACCCACUUCGCCUGACAAACCACGAGGACCUUCGGAGGCAAAGAAGUGUUACCUCUCGGUCCAGGGCCCCCAUUUGGUCCAACACCUCCAUCUGCACCUAUACCUCCCCUCUGACCUUGUGCUCCUAAAAGGCAAACCAGGUUCACCGGGGAUAUAGAUGACCUCACCGACAACAUCAUCACCUUUUGGCCCUAAAUAAUCACAAAGAGGGGGAAAAUGUUCAGCUGAUCCUGGAAUGCCAUCUCUGCCUAUUUCUCCCCGAUGUCCUUGUGGACCGGGAGCUCCAGCAGAACCAGGAACACCUUAAUAAACAUAGAGAUACAUCACUGGAAAAGACAAGUGAAUUCUUCAUGUUUUACAGAAUAUGUAUUCUUGGUGUUGGUUACAUUUAAGUUACAUUUUACAUUACAAGUCAAGAUACAAUACAUGUAACAGAAGGGGAUCAUUUAAUGCUAG